AUGACCUUGGCUCUGUCGGUUAACGAUUUAAUUUCCUUUCCGCAAAGUAAAAAGAGGGGGAGGGGCUGGGAGACCCUGAGAGUGCUGACAGCGCCCCACGGAGAUGAGGGUAGAGAGCAGGCCUGCUUCCCUCCACCAUUUCAAAACAAACUAGGUGAGCCUCGCGCCUCCUCGGGAGGCGGAGGCGGUCCCACAGUCUGCCAGCCUCCCCGACGGCCCGCGAGACCGCGCGCCAGCUGGGAAGGGGUGGCAGGACUCGGAGGCUGCCGGGCCCGGCACCCGGACCUGUCCUGUGAGUGCCCUGCGCCGCCAACCCAACGGGGACCGACCCCGCGCGCGACGGGCGCGCGAAGCCCCGCACCGGGCCGCAAUCACGCCCCCACACACGCCCUGAACGGCAGAGCCUCCGCCUCGUGCGCAGCAGCCGAGCGCCCCCUCCCCUGCAGCCCCUUCCCAGCCGCGGCCUCCGAGCGGCGGGGCCACUCCGCCCGCCCGCCCCGCCGGCGCCCCGCAGCCCGCGGCCGCUCCGCCCCUCCCCCUACCUGCCGCCGUGGCCGCCGCCACCUUCACUUGUCUUUGACUGGGGCCCGCCCCGGCUGGGGCUCCCCGCAGACCCGCCCCGCCCCGCCCAGGCCGCUCAGCCCGCCCACGGACUCCCCUCCCAGCAGGCCCACCCCGGACCCCAAAACACGCCCCGCUCGCCCCGCCCGGCCUGUGCGCUCCGGGAGGGGGUGCGCGGGGGGCUCUGGGCUGCACGGACAGCUGGGUGCUUCCAGCUCUGCUUGCGCUCCCCGCAAGCUGCCCCAGCGGGGAAGCAGGGGCUGUGCGUGGGGACCCCUGGACCAUGCCAGGGAUCCCCACGCUCUCCCACAACACCGCCUCUUCCCACGACCUAGAUCGGGCUGUCGCGCUCUGGCCCCUUCCUUCGUCCCCAACCUCAGUGGUGGGGACGGCAGCGGGGAGACGCCCAAGUGGUGUAUCCCAUCCUGAUUAUAUAGAUGAGGAAUCUGAAGCUUGCAGAUAUUUAGUGACUUGCCCACAACCGUCCACUACCUGGCUUCUCCACUCAGAUGUGCUCUGCUCCAAAAGCUCUGCUCUCCACUCCCAGCCUCUCAAGUAUGAAGUUAUUGGACCAUUAUGGCUGCAACUGGAGAAUAAUACAGAUGAGAAGAGGACGAGCAUCUCUAUCUCACCAGGAGGGGGCGGAAAAAAACCAAGGAGAGAAGCCCAGGAGGAACGUUUCUGACCUGCACAGAAACUUCUCUGGAGAAUUUUAGAGUCUGAGACACCUCACGCCAACCAGUCAACCGUUUCACACUGACUAGCAGGAAUCUCUGGUGUUCAAACCCGUUCUUUUCCUAUUGGGCCCUGUUGAAGCUGAUCUGCCCAAGCCAGUGAGAUCCUCCAUGCUGGUGACUAAAUCUGAGCCUGGAGACUUGGCAGAGUGGCCAUAGAUGGAAGCCAGUCUGGUCCCACUUUUCCAUCUGCCAUGGUCUGAAUGUUUGCACCCUGCACCUGCAAGUUCACAUCUUAAAACCCUAACUCUCAAAGGGAAGAUAUUAGGAGGUGACCAUGGCAUCAGAAGCAGAGAAAACAUUCCAUCGAUUUGCAGCCUUUGGGGACACGGCAAGCACUGGUGCGGAGAUAAACAACAAGAACUUCGCCAAGCUAUGUAAAGACUGUAACAUCAUGGACGGCAAGCUGGUCACCUCGAAUUCCGUGGACAUCGUGUUUAGCAAAGUGAAGUAAGG